GCCAAGUGCGAUGGUGCAUGCCUGUAGUCCCAGGUAGUUGGAAGGCUGAGGCAGGACAGCUCGAGCCCAGGAGUUCUGGGCUGCAGUGCACUGUGCCAAUGGGGUGUCCACACUAAGUCUGGCACCAAUAUGGUGACCUCCCUGGAGCAGGGGACAACCAGGUUGCCUAAGGAGGGGUGAACCAGCCCAGGUCAGAAAUGGAUCAGGUCAAAACUCCUGUGCUGAUCAGUAAUGGGACCAUGCCUGUGAAUAGCCACUGCACUCCAGCCUGGGCAACAUAACGAGGUUCUGUCCCUA
ensembl:misc_RNA Metazoa_SRP Metazoan signal recognition particle RNA